GACGAACGCUGACGGUGUGCUUUAGACAUGCAAGUCGAACGAGAAAGCCCUUCGGGGUGAGUAGAGUGGCGAACGGGUGAGUAACACGUGGGCAACCUGCCCCUCGCAGGGGGAUAACCGGAGGAAACUCCGGCUAAUACCCCGUAAGCUUUCAGGGUCGCAUGGCCCUGUAAGGAAAGGUAGCUUCGGCCAUCCGGCGAGGGAUGGGCCCGCGGUGCAUUAGCUAGUUGGUGGGGUAAAGGCCCACCAAGGCGACGAUGCGUAGCUGGUCUGAGAGGAUGAUCAGCCACACUGGGACUGAGACACGGCGGCCACUCCUACGGGAGGCAGCAGCCAGGAAUCUUGGGCAAUGGGCGAAAGCCUGACCCAGCAACACCGUGUGGGCGAUGAAGGCCUUCGGGUCGUAAAGCCCUGUUGAUGGGGACGAAGGGCGAAGGGUUAAUAGCCCCUAGCCUGACGGUACCUUUCGAGGAAGCCCCGGCUAACUACGUGCCAGCAGCCGCGGUAAUACGUAGGGGGCGAGCGUUGUCCGGAAUUAUUGGGCGUAAAGAGCGUGUAGGCGGUUCGGUAAGUCUGCCGUGAAAACCUGAGGCUCAACCUCGGGCGUGCGGUGGAUACUGCCGGGCUAGAGGACGGUAGAGGCGAGUGGAAUUCCCGGUGU
rnacentral:rRNA from 1 species